rnacentral:lncRNA from 1 species
GAGAGAAGCUGGCUGCCUUCUUCUUCUUAGUGUGAGAACUUUUCUGCAAAAGAAAAAAGAGACUUCCUUCUCUGUGAAAACCGAAGUCGACCUUUGUGGUGUGCCUUUGUGUGCCUUUUCUUCUUCGUGAAUGAAAAAGUCUCCCAAUUGAAGUUACCUUUGUGGUGUUGGGUCGAAGAUUUCUGAGCCGGAUUUAAAAAGGGGGAUUUCGUUUCAUUUUCUUCCAUUAAGUUUCAGUUUCUGCAUUUCAUUUAGUUCACUGCUUCAUUUUGGUUUCUUGAAUUCCAUUACAUUUAUUUGAUUUAAU